rnacentral:rRNA from 1 species
GACGAACGCUGGCGGCGUGCUUAACACAUGCAAGUCGAACGGAAAGGCCCUGCUUUUGUGGGGUGCUCGAGUGGCGAACGGGUGAGUAACACGUGAGUAACCUGCCCUUGACUUUGGGAUAACUUCAGGAAACUGGGGCUAAUACCGGAUAGGAGCUCCUGCUGCAUGGUGGGGGUUGGAAAGUUUCGGCGGUUGGGGAUGGACUCGCGGCUUAUCAGCUUGUUGGUGGGGUAGUGGCUUACCAAGGCUUUGACGGGUAGCCGGCCUGAGAGGGUGACCGGCCACAUUGGGACUGAGAUACGGCACAGACUCCUACGGGAGGCAGCAGUGGGGAAUAUUGCACAAUGGGCGGAAGCCUGAUGCAGCAACGCCGCGUGCGGGAUGACGGCCUUCGGGUUGUAAACCGCUUUCGGCUGUGACGAAGCGUGAGUGACGGUAAUGGGUAAAGAAGCACCGGCUAACUACGUG